GGUCCAUGGAGACGGCAGUGGUGGGUGGGGAUCUUGGACUUGGACCCUGCAAGUGGUGCUGGUUCCCAGUGACCAGUUCAGGGUUGCAGCAUGGGAAGCGCACCCUGAUAUGCAGUGGGGUUAGGGUAAUGGAUGGCAUGAAGAGGCCGGUGGAUCGUCUGCUUAGGAAGUGCGAAGAUGUUGUGAUUUCAGGAGCAGAGGCAGAGAGAACAGAAGGCCAGGAGGGCAAACUCUUCAGUGAAUGAGAAGGGAGGAUGCAGGGAACUCAUGGAGGAAGGGGAGCAGGAGUUGGCCCGUAAAGCAGGAAGUCAUCAGCAAGCAGGCCAGCGGAAGCAUUCCAGAGCUGAAACCCUCUGCCCAGCCACGCCAGUCCUUCCGUCUGGCCAGCCUAACCAGUUGUGGCGUGUGGCAUAAGCAGGGUGCUUGGUACAGCCUUCUGAAAACCCUCACGAAACUGUCCAGGGUAAGUGACAACUUGCGAAUUCUCUAGUUUAUUAGGAGGAUGUGGAAACAAAUGCAUUCUGUUUCAUUGUGGAAACACAUUUAUUUCUUGUGGUCCAUCAAAUUCUGCGUUAUGCAUUGUGAAAUUUAGUUCUCAGGCACAUGCAUGUUCCAAAUAUUAUAACUCUCUGGUGCGUUGAACACUGUAUCAUUAUGUAGAAACUAUAGCUCUAAUGAAAGUUGCAGUCAACCAAUACUAAUAAAGAUAGCCCAGCCCACCCUUUUUUUUUGGUAGCAGGGAUUGAACUUGGGUCCUUGCACUUGCGAAGCAGGCGGCGGAACCACUGAGCUAAAUUCCUUGCCCAGCCCAGCCCU
rnacentral:lncRNA from 1 species